GUCAACCCCUACCAUCGUCUAUGCCCAUACCACUCUGAUCCUGGAAGCUAAGCAUGGUCAAGCCUGGCCAGUAAGUAAAUGGGAGACAACCUGGGAAUUACCAAGUGCUGUAGGCU
ensembl:rRNA 5S_rRNA 5S ribosomal RNA